rnacentral:misc_RNA from 1 species
UCUUGCUUUAAUUUUUUUUUUUUUAAAUUGAGAUAUAAAUAUGAGCAGACUUAAUGUCUAUCAGAGUUGAAUAACAAAAAAGAAUUAAUGUAGCCGACUCUAACGAGUUUGAGAUCAAGGCUUAGUUGUUUUUGCUCAUUGCUGAGAUAUAAAUAUAAAAAUUUUUCUGCAGUAGCAAUCUCUAAUGUGCUGCUUACAUAUUGUGCCCUAGUAUUUGUGUUCUGGCAACCUCAACAUGAUUUAUUAAUUUAUAGCUUCAUCAGUUCAUUUUGCUUUCCAAAAUCAUCUGCUCUAUAUUUUUCUCUCUCCAGUUUCAUGGUAAUGGAUAAUAUUAGAUGGUGAAAUAAUUCAUAUUUGUUUCCAGAAAUCACUUGUGAUGCGCAUAA